rnacentral:rRNA from 1 species
GUAGUCAUAUGCUUGUCUCAAAGAUUAAGCCAUGCAUGUCUAAGUAUAAGCAACUAUACGGUGAAACUGCGAAUGGCUCAUUAUAUCAGUUAUCGUUUAUUUGAUAGUACCUUACUACAUGGAUAACCGUGGUAAUUCUAGAGCUAAUACAUGCUAAAAACCUCGUCUUCGGAAGGGGUGUAUUUAUUAGAUAAAAAACCAAUGCCCUUCGGGGCUCCUUGGUGAAUCAUAAUAACUUAACGAAUCGCAUGGCCUUGCGCCGGCGAUGGUUCAUUCAAAUUUCUGCCCUAUCAACUUUCGAUGGUAGGAUAGUGGCCUACCAUGGUAUCAACGGGUACGGGGAAU